UACAGAGGUGGCAAGCGUUGUUCGGAAUUACUGGGCGUAAAGGGCCAGUAGGCGGCCAACUAAGUCCGACGUGAAAUCCCAAGGCUUAACCUUGGAACUGCGUCGGAUACUGGAUGGCUUGAAUUCGGGAGAGGGAUGCAGAAUUCCAGGUGUAGCGGUGAAAUGCGUAGAUAUCUGGAGGAAUACCGGUGGCGAAGGCGGCAUCCUGGACCGACAUUGACGCUGAACGGCGAAAGCUAGGGGAGCAAACGGG
rnacentral:rRNA from 1 species